GGCUCUUGACACUGUUGCUGUAGCCAAUGACUGGCAGCUUCACCUGUCUAGCUGGGUGUGGCUUCACCUGUCUAAUUGGAACAUGAUUGGCUCUUGAUUGUGAUGCUGGAGCCAGUCUGAGGAGGGGACCAGCUAUAUAGCCUUUCUUCUUGACAGUAUGGGGGAAUCCAGACGGGACACAGACGAGGAGAGGGGCACAGACGAGGAGAGGGGCACAGUGACAGGUGCCUGACUGCAGCAGGUGGCCUGGUGGAACAUCGCCCACGACUGGUGCCUUAUACAUCGCUCUCCAACCUCCUACUAAAGGGAAGUGCUCCAUUCGUCCUGCAUGUGUGUGAUUAUUUGCAGUUCUGGUGCAUAGCUGGCUUUCCCUAAGGGCUGGUCUUCUUUGAUUUCAGGGCCAGACAAGCGACCAAGGGACUGGUACAUCUCCAGACGGCCGACGACCGAGCAUGGACCUGGACUGUGCAUUUGCGUUUCUUUUCCUGGUCGGCGAGAGAAAGCCGACCAGGACGGACUCUUUUAUAUCAUCAUGGACCUAGGACUGGGGGACUGGUUGCACUGGUCGUGCUGCCUUUGGCUUGGACUGGGGGACUUGUGGGGGGAUGCCUUUUGUGUGAGCUUGACUUGCCGUGUUGCUGUACUCUUGAUAUGUCUGUGUGAGCUUGACUUGCCGUGUUGCUGUGCUCUUGAUAUGUCUGUGUGAGCUUGACUUGCCGUGUUGCUGUGCUCUUGAUAUGUCCUUACAUGAACUGAUGUUUUCCACAUUGAGUUGAUUGAUGUGUCACUGGGUUAUUGGGUAGCAUUCUCACCAUUAGCUCCCA